CAAGCAACUAGCAGCCCAGACGUGUUCACCAUGAGCUCCCACGUCUGGGGACAAAAACCAGAGUGCUUUACCCAGCAAUCGGCACUCACAGAACACAAGCAACAUUAUUCACACCCGGGAGAGGUGUCUGCAUCAGACGGUGCCUUUCUCAAGCUCCUGCGAAAUUGGACUGACACACCGAGACUUGUGGCCUACACGAGACUGAGUCACUGAGACACGGCUGCUCUCCAGGCUCUUAAGCAGAACCUGGGACCCCUGUGAAAUCACUUCUCCCACCCCCCUUGGACCGGUGGGGGUCAUCCUGGUCAACACAGAGUUACCCCACUCACCUUGCUGAUUGGCAACAGGCAACUAAUAUUGCACAAAACUGAGACCCAGCACUCCUACUCAAAAUGGCAGACGCGCCCCCUUCAAGCGACACGUGUCAGCAGUCAGCCAAGCAAGAUGGGUGCACCACACUAGAUCGUAUGCUACAG